rnacentral:misc_RNA from 1 species
AUGUUCACAGCCAGCUUGCGG